rnacentral:sRNA from 1 species
GAUAAAAUGACCUUUGGUUAAAAAGGAGGAGAAAAACAAGAAUGUAAUGAGGAAUCAUGCAGAGAGAGAGGAGAAGAAUCAGAUUUCAUAUACUCUAACAGUUCCUUAUCCUUUAUCUAAGGAGAGCUAACUAUUGACAAAAAAACCUGCAAUUACAGAGCUGCAUCUCGUUGCAUCCAUCCAUCCAUCCAUUCCUGAAAACGAAAUAAAAAUAGAAAACACAAAAUCCUGCAAUAAGCGCCUUUGAGCUAUUGAAGGAAAGGUCAGAAAAUCGAAAAACACCUCAGCAACAAAGGGGAAUUUCCGGGAGUUCAAUCAGCCAAACACCCUCCAUCGCCAACCACGCCCAACCAAAAGCCAUGAAACGAAACAAAGAAAAACGAUGCGGAAAGAAUAAAGGGGAAAAGUGGAAGCAAAAAUAAAAAGCAAAAAAGCAAAAAUCUUCCUCCAAUUUCAAUCCCUCUACAUCACACCUCCCCCACCUCCUGUCGCCAUCCUCGCGAAAUCCUUCGGCACCUCCCACCC